GCGGCUGUAGCUCAGUUGGUUAGAGCGUCGGACUGUGAAUCCGAAGGCCGUGGGUUCAAGCCCCAUCAGCCGCCCCA
rnacentral:tRNA from 1 species